rnacentral:rRNA from 1 species
UACGAAGGGGGCUAGCGUUGUUCGGAAUUACUGGGCGUAAAGCGCACGUAGGCGGACAUUUAAGUUGGAGGUGAAAGCCUUGGGCUCAACCCAAGAAUUGCCUUUGAUACUGGAUGUCUCGAGACCGGGAGAGGUGAGUGGAAUUCCGAGUGUAGAGGUGAAAUUCGUAGAUAUUCGGAAGAACACCAGUGGCGAAGGCGGCUCACUGGCCCGGUUCUGACGCUGAGGUGCGAAAGCGUGGGGAGCAAACGGG